rnacentral:rRNA from 1 species
AUACUUAGUGGCAGACGGGUGAGUAACAUGUGGGUAUCUACCCUUUGGCCUGGAAUAACACGAGGAAACUUGUGCUAAUACCGGAUAAGUCUUUACGGAGAAAGCUUUAUGCACCAUUGGAUGAGCCCGCACUUGAUUAGUUUGUUGGUAGGGUAAUGGCCUACCAAGACUAUGAUCAAUAGCUGAUUUGAGAGGAUGAUCAGCCACAUUGGGACUGAGACACGGCCCAAACUCCUACGGGAGGCAGCAGUGGGGAAUCUUGCACAAUGGAGGAAACUCUGAUGCAGCGAUGCCGCGUGAGUGAAGAAGGCCUUUGGGUUGUAAAGCUCUUUCGUCGGGGAAGAAAAUGACUGUACCCGAAUAAGAAGGUCCGGCUAACUUCGUGCCAGCAGCCGCGGUAAUACGAAGGGACCUAGCGUAGUUCGGAAUUACUGGGCUUAAAGAGUUCGUAGGUGGUUGAAAAAGUUGGUGGUGAAAUCCCAGAGCUUAACUCUGGAACUGCCAUCAAAACUUUUCAGCUAGAGUAUGAUAGAGGAAAGCAGAAUUUCUAGUGUAGAGGUGAAAUUCGUAGAUAUUAGAAAGAAUACCAACUGCGAAGGCAGCUUUCUGGAUCAUUACUGACACUGAGGAGCGAAAGCAUGGGUAGCGAAGAGGAUUAGAUACCCUCGUAGUCCAUGCCGUAAACGAUGUGUGCUAGACGUUGGAAACUUAGUUUUCAGUGUCGCAGCGAAAGCGUUAAGCACACCGCCUGGGGAGUACGACCGCAAGGUUAAAACUCAAAUGAAUUGACGGGGACCCGCACAAGCAGUGGAGCAUGUGGUUUAAUUCGAAGAUACGCGCAGAACCUUACCAACACUUGACAU